rnacentral:rRNA from 1 species
CCUACGGGUGACAGCAGUGGGGAAUAUUGGACAAUGGGGGGAACCCUGAUCCAGCCAUGCCGCGUGUGUGAAGAAGGCCCUCGGGUUGUAAAGCACUUUCAGUGAGGAAGAACGCCUGGUGGUUAAUACCCAUCAGGAAAGACAUCACUCACAGAAGAAGCACCGGCUAACUCCGUGCCAGCAGCCGCGGUAAUACGGAGGGUGCGAGCGUUAAUCGGAAUUACUGGGCGUAAAGCGCGCGUAGGUGGCUUGAUAAGCCGGUUGUGAAAGCCCCGGGCUCAACCUGGGAACGGCAUCCGGAACUGUCAAGCUAGAGUGCAGGAGAGGAAGGUAGAAUUCCCGGUGUAGCGGUGAAAUGCGUAGAGAUCGGGAGGAAUACCAGUGGCGAAGGCGGCCUUCUGGACUGACACUGACACUGAGGUGCGAAAGCGUGGGUAGCAAACAGGAUUAGAUACCCUUGUAGUC